CGGAUAGCCACUGGGUAAAGCAGGAGGUGGAGGGCGGGCCUGAGGUGAAGGCUGAGAAAGACGUGUUGGAGGUGAAGCAGGAGGCGGAUAGUAGCCUGGUGGUGAAAGAAGAGGAGGUGGAUGAGCCAGAAGUAAAGGAAGAGAAAGUGAAGGUGAAGGAGGAGGUAACGGACUGGGAAGAAGCGAAGGAGGAGGACUUGAACGUAAAACAGGAGUUGUUUGUUGGUCAGAACGUAAAGGAGGAGCAGGUGAUGGAUAGAGUGCCCGUAAAAGAAGAGGAUUGCUUCAAGAGAGAAGUGACGGAAGACACGAAGGUGAAGGAAGAGCCGCAGAUGAAUCCCCGAGUGGGCUGCAAGAGGAAAUUGGCCAUGUCGAGGUGUGAGACUUGUGGCACGGAAGAAGCAAAGUACAGAUGUCCACGCUGCAUGCGGUACUCCUGCAGUUUGCCCUGUGUGAAGAGACACAAAGCAGAGCUGAUGUGCAGCGGCGUGCGGGAUAAGACUGCCUAUGUCUCUCUGCAGCGCUUUACUGAGAUGAACCUCCUGAGCGACUAUCGGUUUUUGGAAGACGUGGCGAGGACAGCAGACCGGGUGUCAAGAGAUAUUUUCUUGACAAGACCAAAGCGCAAGAAAUAUGGGGCAGGAUACCGGAAGCAUGGUGUUUACUUGAGGCUGCUACCCAGUGGGUUCAGCAAGAGGAGAGAGAACUCGACGGUUUUUGACCAUAGGAAUCAGCAGUUUUGUUGGCACGUAAAGCUCCAGUUCCCUCAGAGCCAGGCGGAGUAUGUAGAGAAA
rnacentral:lncRNA from 1 species